GAGCCCCCGGCGGCCCUGAAGGGCGGGCCCGCCGAAGCAACUAAGGUACGUAAACACGGGUGGGAGGUGGCUCCCCUAGGAACCCUACACUCGGUAAUGAUCCUCCGUUGGUGGAACAGCGGAGGGAUCAUUACCGAGUGUAGGGUUCCUAGCGAGCCCAACCUCCCACCCGUGUUUACUGUACCUUAGUUGCUUCGGCGGGCCCGCCAUUCAUGGCCGCCGGGGGCUCUCAGCCCCGGGCCCGCGCCCGCCGGAGACACCACGAACUCUGUCUGAUCUAGUGAAGUCUGAGUUGAUUGUAUCGCAAUCAGUUAAAACUUUCAACAAUGGAUCUCUUGGUUCCGGCAUCGAUGAAGAACGCAGCGAAAUGCGAUAACUAGUGUGAAUUGCAGAAUUCCGUGAAUCAUCGAGUCUUUGAACGCACAUUGCGCCCCCUGGUAUUCCGGGGGGCAUGCCUGUCCGAGCGUCAUUGCUGCCCAUCAAGCACGGCUUGUGUGUUGGGUCGUCGUCCCCUCUCCGGGGGGGACGGGCCCCAAAGGCAGCGGCGGCACCGCGUCCGAUCCUCGAGCGUAUGGGGCUUUGUCACCCGCUCUGUAGGCCCGGCCGGCGCUUGCCGAACGCAAAUCAAUCUUUUCCAGGUUGACCUCGGAUCAGGUAGGGAUACCCGCUGAACUUAAGCAUAU
rnacentral:rRNA from 1 species